rnacentral:rRNA from 1 species
AUGGGGGCAACCCUGAUCCAGCGACGCCGCGUGUGUGAAGAAGGCCUGCGGGUUGUAAAGCACUUUUAGUGGGGAUGAAAAGCACAUUGCUAAUACCAGUGUGUCUUGACCUAACCCAAAGAAAAAGCACCGGCUAACUCUGUGCCAGCAGCCGCGGUAAUACAGAGGGUGCGAGCGUUAAUCGGAAUUACUGGGCGUAAAGCGUGCGUAGACGGUUAUUUAAGUCGGGUGUGAAAGCCCCGGGCUCAACCUGGGAAUUGCAUUCGAGACUGAAUAGCUAGGGUACGGUAGAGGGAAGUGGAAUUUCCGGUGUAGCGGUGAAAUGCGUAGAUAUCGGAAGGAACAUCAGUGGCGAAAGCGACUUCCUGGACCAGUACCGACGUUCAGGCACGAAAGCGUGGGGAGCAAACAGGAUUAGAUACCCUGGUAGUCCACGCCAUAAACGAUGAGGACUAGACGUUGGAGGGGUAAGCCUUUCAGUGUCGUAGCUAACGCGCUAAGUCCUCCGCCUGGGGAGUA